AUUUGAGAAUGAAGCUCAGCUGAAGUUUGAACAGCAUACUGACAUAUACCAACAAGAAUGAAAAUAACUUAACAGCAAUUUUAUAAAUUCACAUCCCCCAGAGCACCACAGAGUAAAGAAAUACUGCAUAUGGGUAACAACUGGUUCUUAGUUACUAAAUCUGAAAGAUCAAAUACAGUUAAUUACAUAAGCUUCUCUUGAGUUUUUCUGGGGGAAUAUACCAGGAGACCAUAAUCAAGGUUUCUGGUAUUGCACUAAACACGAUGAAAAACAGGAGAGAACGGAGAGGGAUCAUGUUUUACCACAAUAUGCAAUUUAUGGGAGAGAUGAAGCGCUCAGGUGGAGAUGACUAGUGUCACGUGGUGUUUUAAGUGGAUACUCACAACGCUGGAACUCACAGCAAUAACAACAAGAGAUCCUCUAUAGACUGUUGAUGUAUAGCCAUGAGAAAAAAAAAAGAAAAAUUUUUGCUCUCAAUGAGCUUGCAUUUAAGCAUCUAUAAAAGGUGAGAUUAAUAUUUACUCAGUGAACUUUGAGUAAAGCAUUGGGUGCUUCAUUAUGUGGAGGAGUCUCAUCCAAUCAGUUGAAGGUGACUGAAUGGAACUAUAGAUCGACCUCACAUAAAUGAGAGGGAAUUCUGCAACAGAUCAUCUUUGCCUUUGAACUGCAGCAUGGACUCCCCUCUGGGUCUCCUGCCUGCCAGCCCACCCUGCAGAGUGCAUUUGCCAGCCUCCACAAUCAGCUAAUGAUAUCUUAAGUUAGAACAUCAUGCCAAGAGAAGUAUGUUUUCAACCAAGAAAGCAAAAUCAACAUGAUCCUAAAUGAACUGCUUCUGCAUGUCAACAGUCUUGAUAUACCUGAGAGAGUGAGAUACAGAGUAUGUUGUUAAACUUUUUAUAAUUACAAAUAUUGCUUGUAUUUCUUUUGAAAUUUGCCACACGCUGAUAUUAAAAAUAAUAGAUAGAAAA
rnacentral:lncRNA from 1 species